AGGCAGCAGUGGGGAAUAUUGCACAAUGGGGGGAAACCCUGAUGCAGCCAUGCCGCGUGUGUGAAGAAGGCCUUCGGGUUGUAAAGCACUUUCAGUAGGGAGGAAGGUAGUGUAGUUAACACCUGCACUAUUUGACGUUACCUACAGAAGAAGCACCGGCUAACUCCGUGCCAGCAGCCGCGGUAAUACGGGAGGGUGCGAGCGUUAAUCGGAAUUACUGGGCGUAAAGCGCAUGCAGGCGGCCUGUUAAGUCAGAUGUGAAAGCCCGGGGCUUAACCUCGGAAUUGCAUUUGAAACUGGCAGGCUAGAGUCUUGUAGAGGGGGGUAGGAAUUUCAGGUGUAGCGGUGAAAUGCGUAGAGAUCUGAAGGAAUACCAGUGGCGAAGGCGGCCCCCUGGACAAAGACUGACGCUCAGAUGCGAAAGCGUGGGGAGCAAACAGGAUUAGAUACCCUGGGAG
rnacentral:rRNA from 1 species